GGAUGAACGCUAGCUACAGGCUUAACACAUGCAAGUCGAGGGGAAACGACAUCGAAAGCUUGCUUUUGAUGGGCGUCGACCGGCGCACGGGUGAGUAACGCGUAUCCAACCUGCCCACCACUUGGGAAUAACCUUGCGAAAGUAAGACUAAUACCCAAUGAUAUCUCUAGAAGGCAUCAGAAAGAGAUUAAAGAUUUAUCGGUGAUGGAUGGGGAUGCGUCUGAUUAGCUUGUUGGCGGGGUAACGGCCCACCAAGGCUACGAUCAGUAGGGGUUCUGAGAGGAAGGUCCCCCACAUUGGAACUGAGACACGGUCCAAACUCCUACAGGAGGCAGCAGUGAGGAAUAUUGGUCAAUGGACGAGAGUCUGAACCAGCCAAGUAGCGUGCAGGAUGACGGCCCUAUGGGUUGUAAACUGCUUUUAUAAGGGAAUAAAGUGAGUCUCGUGAGACUUUUUGCAUGUACCUUAUGAAUAAGGACCGGCUAAUUCCGUGCCAGCAGCCGCGGUAAUACGGAAGGUCCGGGCGUUAUCCGGAUUUAUUGGGUUUAAAGGGAGCGUAGGCCGGAGAUUAAGCGUGUUGUGAAAUGUAGACGCUCAACGUCUGCACUGCAGCGCGAACUGGUUUCCUUGAGUACGCACAAAGUGGGCGGAAUUCGUGGUGUAGCGGUGAAAUGCUUAGAUAUCACGAAGAACUCCGAUUGCGAAGGCAGCUCACUGGAGCGCAACUGACGCUGAAGCUCGAAAGUGCGGGUAUCGAACAGGAUUAGAUACCCUGGUAGUCCGCACGGUAAACGAUGGAUGCCCGCUGUUGGUCUGAAUAGGUCAGCGGCCAAGCGAAAGCAUUAAGCAUCCCACCUGGGGAGUACGCCGGCAACGGUGCAACUCAAAGGAAUUGACGG
rnacentral:rRNA from 1 species